rfam:Camelus ferus unplaced genomic scaffold scaffold1712, whole genome shotgun sequence.
GCAGAUAUAGCUCAGUGGUAGAGUGUGUACUUAGCAUGUACGAGGUCCUCGGUUCAAUCCCCAGCACCUCCG